rnacentral:rRNA from 1 species
GACGAACACUGGCGGCGUGCCUAAUACAUGCAAGUUGAGCGCUUAAGGUUGGUUCUUUUCCCAACUGGAUGAGCAGCGAACGGGUGAGUAACGCGUGGGUACUCUGCCUUUGAGCGUGGGACAACAUUUGGAACCGAAUGCUAAUACCGCAUAAAAACUUUAAACACAAGUUUUAUGUUUGAAAGAUGCAAUUGCAUCACUCAAAUCUGAUCCCGCGUUGUAUUAGCUAGUUGGUGAGGUAAAGGCUCACCAAGGCGAUGAUACAUAGCCGACCUGAGAGGAUGAUCAGUCACACUGGAACUGAGACACGGUCCAGACUCCUACGGGAGGCAGCAGUGGGGAAUAUUGGAAAAUGGGCGAAAGCCUGAUCCAGACAUGCCGCGUGUGUGAAGAAGGUCUUCGGAUUGUAAAGCACUUUAAGUUGGGAGGAAGGGCAGUAAGUUAAGAACGUGCUGUUUUGACGUUACCAACAGAAUAAGCACCGGCUAACUUCGUG